UACGUAGGGUGCGAGCGUUGUCCGGAAUUAUUGGGCGUAAAGAGCUUGUAGGCGGUUUGUCGCGUUGUCCGUGAAAAUUUACAGCUCAACUGUGAACUUGCGGGCGAUACGGGCAGGCUAGAGUACUGCAGGGGAGACUGGAAUUCCUGGUGUAGCGGUGAAAUGCGCAGAUAUCAGGAGGAACACCGGUGGCGAAGGCGGGUCUCUGGGCCGUAACUGACGCUGAGGAGCGAAAGCGUGGGGAGCGAACAGG
rnacentral:rRNA from 1 species